rnacentral:rRNA from 1 species
UACCAGCACCCCGAGUGGUCGGGACGAUUAUUGGGCCUAAAGCAUCCGUAGCCGGUUUUACAAGUCUUCCGUUAAAUCCACCUGCUUAACAGAUGGGCUGCGGAAGAUACUAUAGAGCUAGGAGGCGGGAGAGGCAAGCGGUACUCGAUGGGUAGGGGUAAAAUCCGUUGAUCCAUUGAAGACCACCAGUGGCGAAGGCGGCUUGCCAGAACGCGCUCGACGGUGAGGGAUGAAAGCUGGGGGAGCAAACCGG